GAUGAACGCUAGCGGCAGGCCUAAUACAUGCAAGUCGAACGGGUGGUCGCAAGACCACUAGUGGCGCACGGGUGCGUAACGCGUAACCAACCUGCCCCGAUCUGGGGGAUAGCCCGCCGAAAGGCGGAUUAAUACCGCAUAUACCCGCAGCCUGGCAUCAGGCAACGGGGAAAGAUUUAUUGGAUCGGGAUGGGGUUGCGUGACAUUAGCUAGUUGGCGGGGUAAGGGCCCACCAAGGCGACGAUGUCUAGGGGACCUGAGAGGGUGAUCCCCCACACUGGCACUGAGAUACGGGCCAGACUCCUACGGGAGGCAGCAGUAGGGAAUAUUGGGCAAUGGGCGAGAGCCUGACCCAGCCAUGCCGCGUGCCGGAUGAAGGCCUUCUGGGUUGUAAACGGCUCUUCUCAGGGAAGAAAAAGACCUUGCGAGGUACACUGACGGUACCUGAGGAAUAAGCACCGGCUAACUCCGUG
rnacentral:rRNA from 1 species